GACCCAGCAUGGCAUAGUGGUUUGAGAGUUGGACUAGGACUCUAGAGUCCAGGGUUUGAGUCCCAGCUUGGCCA
rnacentral:tRNA from 1 species